CGGCUCGCGGGCGGGACGAGCGCUCCGGAGCCGCCGCGGCCUGGGCUCCCCCGGCCCGCGAAGGGCGAGGAGGCCGCCUCCCCUCACAGGCCUUAGCGGCCGGAGGCCCCCUCACCCCACGGUACUGCCGAGGCUGCGUCCAGCGCCUGGAAUCGCUCCUUCACKUUCCAAAAACGAGCCGUUAUUACUCUUUACGAGCCUUUAAUAUAUUUUUCGGUUGAUGUACAGCUUGAAGCCCAAUAAGUUCUCUUGGAAGAGGUCGUUUCUGAGGAGCAGGCAGAGGCAGGGCUUCGCGCAUCGCUGGGCAGUCGGCUCCCUCCAGCCGUGCAGGCGGAUUUCUCCCGGCUUGUGCUCCGGCAGCUAUGCGCCAGGCAGGCUCAGCUCCGAGGCAGAGCCGCGGCCAAGUGGAGGGGAGCUGCGCCUUCCUCUGGGGUCAGGGAGCAGGGGAUGCCAGCUCAGCUCCAGGAUCUUGGACAGCAGUAUGUCUCAGCUAUGGCACUGCCACCCCUGGCAGGAGCAUCUUGCCYACCCUGCUACUCUGCCCCUUUUGGGGAGGGGAAGCUGGAUGGAGGUCUGCAACAGGUGGGGAUCAGGAAAGCAGAGACUCCAAUACAAUUUUUGCAACAUGAAUAUGAGUAAGAGAGGAUGA
rnacentral:lncRNA from 1 species